GCGGCAUCUUGUGGUGACUACAGGUAUCGUUUUCUUAUUGUCUGACGGUGAGAAGCAGCAGCUGUACAGUGCAACACCAAAGACUCAACAGUAAGAACAUGUAGUGACAAAUGUGUCUGGAGAAUGUUUGAAAACAUGCGGUGCCUCAGACCUGAAAGUGUCAUGCUGAGCAAUCAGGAAGGCCUCAAUGCAGGACUUAAGGCUGGACUGUCCUGAUCCUCCUGGUGACUCCACGUUUGGUCCUUGUCCAGACUGUUUGUUUUUUCACUCCAAGAUGAAGUGAUUCGUUGUCCUCCGCCCUGCCUCUCUCUCUCUUUCACGGAAAUUUGCAAGAGACAUAAUUGGAAAUUACCUGUGCUGGAUUCCUAACAAAGAACCUCUACAAACCUCCUCGUCCUUGUCAGCCUCCUCGCCUGGAUCCUGUAAGAAAACCAACAACUUCAAACACUUACCUGAGAACAUCAUCCUAAAUGGUUAUUCCCCCCUUUUCAGCAAAGAA